AAAGAGGAAGCAUAUACUGCGUCUUAUUUACAAUAAGAAGAAGAUUUAAUAUUCCCUCUUUA
rnacentral:tRNA from 1 species